rnacentral:rRNA from 1 species
UGGGGAAUAUUGGGCAAUGGGCGAAAGCCUGACCCAGCAACGCCGCGUGAAGGAAGAAGGUCUUCGGAUUGUUAAACUUCUUUUAUGAGGGACGAAGGACGUGACGGUACCUCAUGAAUAAGCCACGGCUAACUACGUGCC